GCAGCACACAGUACAGACUAGCUGCAGUCGUGUCUCAUCUGGGCCGCAGUUUGUAUUGUGGGCACUACGUCAGUCACAUCCGUGACUUCACUGGAUCUGGAUGGCUGGAAUGCAGUGACACCAGCAUCAGAAGAUCCAGCUGGUCAAAGGCGUCGAGUAACAUCGCAAAGAACGGAUACAUGCUCUUCUAUGUGAAGAGCUCAGCUGCAGUUGGUUGAUGCUGUUUUAAAGAAGAAGGGAACCACAUCUAAAGCCAAAAAUCAGCCUUUAGUGAAGAUCCUUCUGUGGUUCCUCCGGCUUCCAGCCUCCAAGUGCCGAUUCAUCUGCCUUCUUUGAUUGCUGCUGGUCAUCAUGGGAAUCACAUCUUUAUAGAUAGAUAGAGAAGUAAAUAGAAUGAUAGAUAGAACUAUAGAACAAUAGAUGGAACAACACAGAGACAGAUAGAUAGAUGGAUGAUAGACCAAUAUGUAGAACAAUACAUAUAAUAAAUAGAGUGAUAUACAGACAGAUGAAAUAGAGAAUGAUGAUUAGAGACAUUUGAAACGCAGCAGCAGCAUCUUAUAAUCAGUGUUUGUGCUGAACAGGUGGAAGCAUCAGACGGCAGCAGCAGCACACAGUACAGACUAGCUGCAGUCGUGUCUCAUCUGGGCCGCAGUUUGUAUUGUGGGCACUACGUCAGUCACAUCCGUGACUUCACUGGAUCUGGAUGGCUGGAAUGCAGUGACACCAGCAUCAGAAGAUCCAGGUGGUCAAAGGCGUCGAGUAACAUCGCAAAGAACGGAUACAUGCUCUUCUAUGUGAAGAGCUCAGCUGCAGUUGGUUGAUGCUGUUUUAAAGAAGAAGGGAACCACAUCUAAAGCCAAAAAUCAGCCUAUAGUGAAGAUCCUUCUGUGGUUCCUCCGGCUUCCAGCCUCCAAGUGCCGAUGCAUCUGCCUUCUUUGAUUGCUGCUGGUCAUCAUGGGAAUCAAAUCUUUAUAGAUAGAUAGAGAAGUAAAUAGAAUGAUAGAUAGAACUAUAGAACAAUAGAUGGAACAAUAGACAGACAGACAGACAGACAGACAGACAGACAGACAGACAGACGAUAGAUAGAUAGAUAGAUAGAUAGAUAGAUAGAUAGAUAGAUAGUUAGAUG